UCAAAGGAAAGUGUGAGGUGAGCUAGGAGCGAGUUACAGUUGGGAGUUGGGGGAUGAAGGGAUAGUAAAAGUAAGAGAAAUAAGUAAAUUCAUAGUGUCAAGGAAAAAUUAAAAAUAAAGUAUCCUGCCACUUCAGAAAGUCUCUAUAAAUGUAGAAGAGAGAGAGAGAGAGAGAGAGAGAGAGAGAGAGAAGGAGCUAGGAGAGCUCUAUUAUUCAAUAAGUAUUAACCAGACUGGGCUGGGCGUCUCAGGCAAUCUGCUAAAGCGAUUACAAAGACAAACGGAAACCUCACUCUUCUCUGGAACCAAGCACAUACCAUCCAUGACAAGCGCGUGUUUUCAUGUCAGAGGACUAAACACCCUUUGCUGUACAUCCUUUGUUGUAGAGGUAAGAAGUCUAAGAUCAAGAUUUCUGCUGAUUUUGUUUCUGAUGAGAGCUCUCUUCCUCGCUUGGAGAUGACUGCCUUGUCAUUGUGUCCUUAUAUGACCUAUCCUGGGUCUGCUGCUCCCAUGCCCUACCAGGAUGGCGCUUCACUGCCUCUGAAGUUGUGAUCCCCAGGAAGGUGUCCCACAAGGUGAGUGGGGCUGGGGCACAAGGCCAGCUCUCCUACAAGAUUCACUUCAGGGGCCACAGACAUGUCAUUCACAUGAAAGUCAAGAAGAACUUGCUGCCCAGACACUUUCCUGUUAUCACAGAUAAUGACCAAGGUGCCAUGCAGGAGGACUACCCCUUUGUGCCUCGAAACUGUUACUACUACAGCUACCUGGAAGGGGUUCCUGGGUCCAUGGGCACGCUGGACACUUGCUA